rnacentral:piRNA from 1 species
UGGUUUUGCCUUUGAGAAAUGCCACUCCC